rnacentral:rRNA from 1 species
AUUGAACGCUGGCGGCAUGCCUUACACAUGCAAGUCGAACGGCAGCACGGGAGCAAUCCUGGUGGCGAGUGGCGAACGGGUGAGUAAUAUAUCGGAACGUGCCCAGUAGUGGGGGAUAGCCCGGCGAAAGCCGGAUUAAUACCGCAUACGACCUACGGGUGAAAGCGGGGGAGUCGCAAGACCUCGCGCUAUUGGAGCGGCCGAUAUCAGAUUAGCUAGUUGGCGGGGUAAAAGCCCACCAAGGCGACGAUCUGUAGCUGGUCUGAGAGGACGACCAGCCACACUGGGACUGAGACACGGCCCAGACUCCUACGGGAGGCAGCAGUGGGGAAUUUUGGACAAUGGGCGCAAGCCUGAUCCAGCCAUGCCGCGUGUGGGAAGAAGGCCU